rnacentral:rRNA from 1 species
UACGAGAGGCCCAAACGUUAUUCGGAUUUACUGGGCUUAAAGCGUGUGUAGGCGGAUCGUUAAGUGUCUUGUGAAAUCCCACGGCUCACCCGUGGAACUGCUGGGCAUACUGGCGAUCUUGGGCCAACUAGGGGCAACUGGAACAAGCGGUGGAGCGGUGAAAUGCGUAGAUAUCGCUUGGAACGCCAAAGGUGAAAACAGGUUGCUGGGGUUGUGCCGACGCUGAGACACGAAAGCCAGGGGAGCAAACGGG